UACAGAGGUCUCAAGCGUUGUUCGGAUUCAUUGGGCGUAAAGGGUGCGUAGGCGGCGCGGUAAGUCGGGUGUGAAAUCUCGGAGCUUAACUCCGAAACUGCAUUCGAUACUGCCGUGCUUGAGGACUUGGAGAGGAGACUGGAAUUUACGGUGUAGCGGUGAAAUGCGUAGAUAUCGUAAGGAAGACCAUGGCGAAGGCGGGGUCUCUGGACAGUUCCUGACGCUGAGGCACGAAGGUCAGGGGAGCAAACGGGG
rnacentral:rRNA from 1 species